CCCGCUCAGAAACUACAAAGGAAGUUGACGGGGCCCGGCACAAGCGGUGGAGUAUGUGGUUUAAUUCGAUGCAACGCGAAGAACCUUACCCUGGUCUUGACAUCCCGGAGACCCUUAGGAAACUAGGGGGUGCUUCCAUCUGGAAGAAUCUGGAGACAGGUGCUGCAUGGCUGUCGUCAGCUCGUGUCGUGAGAUGUUGGGUUAAGUCCCGCAACGAGCGCAACCCUUGCCUUUAGUUGCCAGCAGUUCGGCUGGGCACUCUAAAGGGACUGCCGGUGUUAAACCGGAGGAAGGUGGGGAUGACGUCAAGUCCUCAUGGCCUUUAUGACCAGGGCUACACACGUACUACAAUGGCCGAUACAAAGGGCAGCGACACUGCGAGGUGAAGCCAAUCCCGUAAAAUCGGUCUCAGUCCGGAUUGGAGUCUGCAACUCGACUCCAUGAAGUUGGAAUCGCUAGUAAUCGUGGAUCAGCAUGCCACGGUGAAUACGUUCCCGGGCCUU
rnacentral:rRNA from 1 species